UCGAGCGUAAUAAUGUAAUGUACGUCGUAGUACGUGGUUUCGUUUCAGUUUUCUGAACCGAACACGGCCCCUGGCCUACAAGAACGGGGCCGGCCUUAUGCCUCGUACACCUUGCACUCGUCGGUCUCGGGGUUGUCCUUGCAGAAGUCCUCCAGAGGGUCGCCGCUGCCGCCCGCCGCCGCCGCGCCCGGCCACUUGGCCGCCACCAGGUGCGCCAAAUCAACCACGCGUUGGCUGCACGCACGCAACCCCAGCGAGCGUUAGCAAAUAUACUGUCAGUGUGCGCAACGCGCAGUUUCAGUUGCAGAUGCAGAUAAGCACGUACCUGUAGCCCCACUCGUUGUCGUACCAGGCGACGACCUUGACCAUGUCGUCGCCCAUGACCAUGGUGAGCGAGGAGUCGAUGGAGGAGGACACGUCGGAGCACCUGAAGUCGACGGACACGAGCGGCUCGUCGCAGACCUGCAGCACGCCCUUGAGCGGGCCGGCGGCGGCCUUGCGGAACGCCGCGUUAACGUCGUCGGCCGUCAUGCCCUUCUUCUCCGUGUUGAUCACCAGGUCCACCACGGACACGUUCGGGGUCGGCACGCGGAGCGCGAUGCCGUUCAGCUUGCCCUUCAGCUGGGGAAGCACCAGGGCAACGGCCUUGGCAGCGCCGGUGCUCGUCGGCACGAUGUUCAGGGCCGCCGCACGGGCCCUCCUCAGGUCGCGGUGGGACGCGUCCAGCAGCCGCUGGUCGCCGGUGUAUGAGUGUGUCGUCGUCAUGGUUCCCUUCACAAUCCC
rnacentral:lncRNA from 1 species